GACGGACGCUGGCGGCGUGCUUAACACAUGCAAGUCGAACGGAAAGGCCCUGCUUUUGUGGGGUGCUCGAGUGGCGAACGGGUGAGAAACACGUGAGUAACCUGCCCUUGACUUUGGGAUAACUUCAGGAAACUGGGGCUAAUACCGGAUAGGAGCUCCUGCUGCAUGGUGGGGGUUGGAAAGUUUCGGCGGUUGGGGAUGGACUCGCGGCUUAUCAGCUUGUUGGUGGGGUAGUGGCUUACCAAGGCUUUGACGGGUAGCCGGCCUGAGAGGGUGACCGGCCACAUUGGGACUGAGAUACGGCCCAGACUCCUACGGGAGGCAGCAGUGGGGAAUAUUGCACAAUGGGCGGAAGCCUGAUGCAGCAACGCCGCGUGCGGGAUGACGGCCUUCGGGUUGUAAACCGCUUUCGCCUGUGACGAAGCGUGAGUGACGGUAAUGGGUAAAGAAGCACCGGCUAACUACGUG
rnacentral:rRNA from 1 species